rnacentral:rRNA from 1 species
GAUGAACGCUAGCGGCAGGCCUAAUACAUGCAAGUCGAGGGGCAGCAUCAUCGCUUGCGAUGGAUGGCGACCGGCGCACGGGUGCGUAACGCGUAUGCAACCUACCCUAUACAGGGGGAUAGCCCGGAGAAAUUCGGAUUAAUACCCCAUGGUAUUAUUGAAUGGCAUCGUUUAAUGAUUAAAGAUUUAUUGGUAUAGGAUGGGCAUGCGUCUGAUUAGUUAGUUGGUGAGGUAACGGCUCACCAAGGCAAUGAUCAGUAGGGGUUCUGAGAGGAUGAUCCCCCACACUGGCACUGAGAUACGGGCCAGACUCCUACGGGAGGCAGCAGUAGGGAAUAUUGGUCAAUGGGCGAGAGCCUGAACCAGCCAUGCCGCGUGCAGGAAGACGGCCUUCUGGGUUGUAAACUGCUUUUAACAGGGAACAAAAAGGCUCUGCGGAGCAAAUUGCGUGUACCUGAAGAAUAAGCACCGGCUAACUCCGUGCCAGCCGCCGCCGUAACAC